rnacentral:rRNA from 1 species
GGGUGAGUAAUGUCUGGGAAACUGCCCGAUGGAGGGGGAUAACUACUGGAAACGGUAGCUAAUACCGCAUAACGUCGCAAGACCAAAGAGGGGGACCUUCGGGCCUCUUGCCAUCGGAUGUGCCCAGAUGGGAUUAGCUAGUAGGUGGGGUAAUGGCUCACCUAGGCGACGAUCCCUAGCUGGUCUGAGAGGAUGACCAGCCACACUGGAACUGAGACACGGUCCAGACUCCUACGGGAGGCAGCAGUGGGGAAUAUUGCACAAUGGGCGCAAGCCUGAUGCAGCCAUGCCGCGUGUGUGAAGAAGGCCUUCGGGUUGUAAAGCACUUUCAGCGGGGAGGAAGGCGAUACGGUUAAUAACCGUGUUGAUUGACGUUACCCGCAGAAGAAGCACCGGCUAACUCCGUGCCAGCAGCCGCGGUAAUACGGAGGGUGCAAGCGUUAAUCGGAAUUACUGGGCGUAAAGCGCACGCAGGCGGUCUGUCAAGUCGGAUGUGAAAUCCCCGGGCUCAACCUGGGAACUGCAUUCGAAACUGGCAGGCUUGAGUCUUGUAGAGGGGGGUAGAAUUCCAGGUGUAGCGGUGAAAUGCGUAGAGAUCUGGAGGAAUACCGGUGGCGAAGGCGGCCCCCUGGACAAAGACU